rnacentral:lncRNA from 1 species
UUUUUAUAACUUAUUCAAUUUCCAUUUUAGAUGGUGAACAAAUAAUUUUAUACUUUCUAAUUUCCUCUUAUUAUCAACUAUAGUUAUGCAGGCAAAGCAGAGCAAAACACCUUUUAGCAUUGUGCUCUGGGUUUCCUAAUCUUUUGAGUAAAUUUCAACUGCUCUUAUUUUUUUAUACUUCCCAAGUCAUGUUAGAGAAGGCAACAAUUAGUGGACAUAACACAUAAAAAGUUGUAAAAGGAAAUCGUCAAUAUAAGAAUUGACACAGUUCAAUUAUCUCAUCACACAUUCUUCAAUACAUAAAAAACAGCACAAUCAUAUGUUUUCUCAAGUUGAAAGCAACAACUACUAAUUAUUCAAAAG